GGGGGUGAACUGUGGAUUCGCACAGCUUGGCUGCCUAGAAGAGAACUCAGCCUAGAGGUUCCCCAUCGGGUCUCCUACCGCCAGGUCCGGCCUCAGAGCUCCGUACUGCUCGUUGGCGAGGAAGCCCCGGCGCUGUUCCAGCGGCACGUGCGGUUCCUCGGGAAAGCGGCGGCGAAAACCCUGCAGGAGGCCGGACUCGAAAUCAGCUAGCACGCCGUCCAUGUCCACCAGCACGCGCACGGGCCGCUUCACCGCCAUUGCCACGCCCGGUGUCUCCGCAGAGCACAGCGGCAAGCACGGAAGAUGCCAGACCCGGAAACAAGCUUCCGGGACCGGGGUAGGGGCGGGCCGGACUUUGUUCAUUUGCACAGAGUGGCCAACCAGGUGCCCAGGAUGGCAUUGCGUCCCUUACGGGGCUGCCGCUCAUGUGCAGCAUCAGAAUCCCUCUCCCAUAACCUCUAAGAUCCGAAAUACUUUCUUGGCAAUGGGGAACCUGCUUCGCAUGCUGAAUGCAUCCUUUGCCUCUCCCAUGUUUGUCCAGGCUGGAAGCUGACAGGAUCGUGAGUCUCCCAGUUCAAGGGAUGAGAAGGACCCCUUAAAGACAACCGUGGGCAUGAGCUGGGCAUGAGCUGGGCUCUCAAGAGACCGGACUCAUAAGCCAGACUUGGUUUGAAACAGUAACAUUGUUUUCAAUCUGCGUCCACUACUUUUUCCUGUGGACCCGAGGUCUCCGGUAGAAUCGAAAACUUGUAUGUCCCUCUAGAAAAUGUUAAGCGUUCACACACAGAGACACAACUUAUUCUUGUAGAUUUCAGAGUCAAUGGCGACAUCACAUCAAUUUUCCAACCUAUAAAUGCAGAUUUGAGUAAUGACUCCCCCCCCACCCCCGACUCAGGGUUUCUCCACAUAGCCCUGGCUGUCCUGAAACUCUGUGAACCAGACUGGCUUCAAACUCCCCGAGGUUUGCCUGCUUCUGCCUUCCAUGUGCUGGGUUUAAAGGUGGGCACUGCUACACCCCGAUAAGACAUGACUUCUAACCCAUGGCAGAAGUUUGUCAGCAUGGAGCCCGACAUCUCACUUGAAGAAAAGCCAGUUUAAAACAACAAAGGAGCAGAGUGUAGUGGCGCACAUUUUUAAUCCUCACACCCAGGAGGCAGACCUCUGAGUUCCAAGACAGCCAGAGCUACUUAGUGAAGACCUUAUCUUAAACAAAUUUGGGCUGCAGAGAUGGCUCAGCAUCGGUUAAGAGUACAGACUGCUCUUCCCCGGGUUCUGAGUUCAAAUCCCAGCAACCACAUGGUGGCUCACAACCAUCUGUAAUGGGAUCUGAUGCCUUCUUCGGGUGUGUCUAAAGACAGCUACAGUGUACUCAUAUAAAUGAAAUUAAAAAUAAAAAAAGCUCUUCUCCUUUCCUCUGCCAUCCUGCGCAUUACGCCUGAUUCGGUUCUCCUUUCCUCUGCCAUCCUGCGCAUUACGCCUGAUUCGGCUUCUUGCCAUGUCUUCUCACAAGACUUUCCGAAUCAAGCGAUUCCUGGCCAAGAAACAAAAGCAAAAUCGCCCCAUUCCUCAGUGGAUCCGGAUGAAAACUGGUAACAACGUCAGGUUCAACUCUUCUCUUAGAAGACACUGGAGGAGAACAAAGCUGGGUCUGUAAGGAUUCACACAAUGGCAAGACUGAGGGUUUAUACUGAGUUGUGGUCAGCAAUCAGUCCUACCAGACAGAUUUCAACAUUUUUAACCUGGAGACUUGCUCAUGUCUUAAAUUAGGGUGUUUGUCUAGUAAUAAAAUAUAGAACCUUUUAAAAAAAUAAAAUAAACAAUUUUUUUCUUUUC